rnacentral:rRNA from 1 species
GAUUUCUGGUGUGACGUACCUGGUCCGCUGGCAUUUCUGUCGGCGAGUAUCGGUGAACGUCUACCAUCCUUCUGGAGAACGACUCUACCCUUCAUUGGGCAGGAGCCGCAAUCCAGAUCUUUUACUUUGAAAAAAUUAGAGUGUUUAAAGCAGGCUUGCGCUAUGAAUACAUUAGCAUGGAAUAAUAACUUAGGACUUUUGUCUUAUUUUGUUGGUUUCUAAGAUGGAAGUAAUGAUUGAUAGGGAUAGUUGGGGGUGCUAGUAUUCAGUGGCCAGAGGUGAAAUUCUCGGAUUCACUGAAGACUAACUUAUGCGAAAGCAUU